UACGAAGGGGGCUAGCGUUGCUCGGAAUCACUGGGCGUAAAGGGUGCGUAGGCGGGUCUUUUAAGUCAGGGGUGAAAUCCUGGAGCUCAACUCCAGAACUGCCUUUGAUACUGAAGAUCUUGAGUUCGGGAGAGGUGAGUGGAACUGCGAGUGUAGAGGUGAAAUUCGUAGAUAUUCGCAAGAACACCAGUGGCGAAGGCGGCUCACUGGACUGGUAUUGACGCUGAGGUGCGAAAGCGUGGGGAGCGAACGGG
rnacentral:rRNA from 1 species